AGGCAUUGUCAUGACAGCCUCUGACUGUCUUACAGGUAGACUGUCUCAUCAUUUAACUAUACUGACCACUCUAGUUUCUAACCCAGUUUCCAUAACCAUUGCCAUUACAACUGGCAAAUAUUGAUCACACUUCUUUUCUAUUCCGGAUAGCUAUUGAAGCUAGACACCCAAGCAAACAUACUAACAGGACCCCAAAUGGGAUUUAACAUGGGUCAAAGUAUUACAGGCAGCCCAGCAGGAGCCAUCAGACCUUAGGAGAGCACUUAUAGUACAAUAAACUGUUUUCAGUUCUUACUAAGUUUUUCUCCAGUUUCCUCCUCGAUUUGUUUUAACUGUGACGAAUCUAAAGACCAGAGAUUUGAAAUUCUGUCAGAAAAAUGGUCAGGUGCGCAAAAGGGAGAGAUUCUUUUCAUCCAGUCAAUAAGUUAUAUAUAGAUGUUUUAGUCAGCAUGCACUUCAUCUACUUCCCCCACCCAAAUAGCUCUAGCUGUUCAGAUCUAUCCCAGUACUUCCUGCAAGACAGCAAUCUUCUGCACUGUGUCCUCUGGUAGCCUCUCCUACUCUGUCUCCGUGUCUGCUUCAAUAACAAACAGCUGUUGCUGAGGCGUUGCUGUGGCGUUGCUGUUGACGUGUUACCUUCGAAAACUCCCUCCAGUCACAGGAGAUGCCUCUUCCAGAGCAUGGAUCAUCUAGGCAACAAGUGGCUCAGUUGCCAUAGAGACUCAGUAGGGUGAGGCGUGUUUGUUUGCUUGCAUCACGCCUUCUGGGAGUGCGACAAAGGCUCUUCUCUACGUCAUGAGUAACUGAUGUUUGGUAGGCUGUGGGUAAGCUUUAAUCAGCUGAUCAGUAGCGAUAAUAUCAAGGCCUCUGUUUGAUACGUUAAUAGUGACAGAUACACUUCCACAAUUAAUAACACAGUGUUCUCUUUGAGAGUCACAUUGUUUUGGUUGGGUAAGAAAGCAGGGCAUUUGCUAGGGUUGGGAGGAGGGUUUGCUUUCACAUAAACACAUACUCCGCAGUGCUUGUCACCACAAACUCCCUUGUUCCGAUUCUGAUCUUGACUUUCUGCAUAACCCUUUCUGAGGUCACAUGCCCUUUGGCAACUGUAGCAAGUGCUGUUUCCUGUUUCUAAACUCGCAGACAGCCACCAGUAUGUCUCAGUUGUCACUUUUAACCAGCUAUCAGUCCAGCUUGCUGUUGCUCUUUUAUCUGACUCAAGACUCGAAAACAGAAAGUAAGCAGAAAUGAAUGCCCCCAUUCCUAAGGCCUGAAAAAAAAAUCAGUGGUGACUACGUGAGACGUGCAGGUUGUAAAGCAGCUUGCUCUUUUCUCUGUUUGUUCAGAGAGAGGAGAGGAAGAAACCUUCACAGGAGCUUAACCGGGUAGAGGGCAUCUAAGCCCAGCGCCUAUAUUUGCAGUACAGAGGAUGCAUCUCCUCUGUGAGAAGCCCCCUCUCCCAGAUGGUCAUCACUCCUGAAGCUCCCUUUGGUCUCCCGGAAAAGAAACUCCACUAUUGGACCCAGUAGGGAUUCUCUGCAUUGCUAAUAGGAAGCACCAGACCCUUCAUAUAUAGGCCGGUUAUAAACUCUAGCCUUCAAAUAUUGUUUCUUCUUCCUAAAAGGGUCUUCCAUUCUGCUUUGCCUGAGCUGCGUCUGCUUGCCUGCACAUGUUCUUCUUGAUUAAUGUGUGUCCUCAGCAGUGUGGUCCUAUAGCAAAACUCAGAACAUUGGUGAUGGUUCGGUGCUUCUCUCCUGUGUUCUGCAUGUUCCACAAGGGUAAGGAGCAAGUCCGCUUCUCUUUAGCCCUGAUGUGGGACACAUAAGAGAAUCUCAGAAAAUGUUGAAGUAGGUAAUGG
rnacentral:lncRNA from 1 species